rnacentral:lncRNA from 1 species
GGGCUCAGCUGAGUGAUUCUCCUGCUCAUCUCAGUGGGACUCACUCCCUUGUCUCUCAUCAGUUAACCACUUGGCCACUCUUUGGUUGAUUCCGUGGAGCCUCAGCUGGGAUGGCCCAUCUGUUCUCUGCAUGUUAUCUCUUUUUCCAGCAGACUAACCCAGGCUUGGUUACAUGGUGGUGGGAUUCUGUGUCAGGGUGGAUUUUCUAUGAUUAAAUUGGAGUUGGACAAUGGGGUUCUUGAUAUUUAUUUGUGACCAGCAUCUGUAAGACGAAGUAUAUGUGUGGAGAGGGAGAAGAUAAACUGUGAAACAGCUCCAGCGAAUCCUUACUCCUGUCCCUCUGGGAGCUCUGCAGUGUGUAGUGACUGUCAGAAAGGCUUCAUCUCUGGAAACACAAAUCUUUGAGGUCAACUCUGAGGGAACUGAUAAUUGGCGGUUAUCAGCUAACCACAUGCCUAAAGUUGGCCAGUAAGUCCUUCUUUAAAAAGGAUCUAGGAGAAGUUUCUCUGAACCUAUCUCAUUUCCUGAGGCAACCAGUGUACAAGCCCCAGUGCGUCAAAUUUGCUGAUGUCCCAGUGGUCGAAGGAAAUCAUAUUGCCAAGGGCUGCACUAACAAAGGAUAUAGGCACACAGGAUGGAUGGCUUUGUGGCAGAUGUUGCAGUUGCCUGUACGAUGGCUCUGAGGUAGUGAUGACUCUACAAGUAGCAGCAUAAAUUAAAAACAAACUGGCAAGCAUAUAUUUUUACCUCUUCAUGCUGAAAAUUAACAUUAUUCUCCCUUCAUUAAUUUAAAAGACGUUUAGAAAUAGGGAACCCCGGCGGAAAAAGUGGAAGAGUAACCACAGAGAACAAAGAAACAGUUUACUCAUAACACUACUUUGGUGAAGCAGGAGAGUAGUGAUGAUACCUUCUCACAGAAUUUGUGGAGCUCAGAAGAACAUGCCUCAUUCACGUAUGCUUUAGAUAGAUAUUUUGGAUUAAAAAUUAUUUUUUAUGAUGUUAGGCCAUUUGGAGGUGAAUAUGACCUAAAUGUUUUUUGGGUUUUUUUUUUUUUUUUUUUUUUUUUCUUGGUAAGGAUUGACAUUUUCAAUUUGGCUUCUAUUUAAUUUUGUCUUUCCAAACAAGAGAGCUUCUAAAUUCUUGACAGAAGGCUCUGAAGACAGAAGCAGCCUAUACUUCUGUCUGUUUAUGGAACUUUCUGAAAAAUAUAUUCACAAGUUGGCAGAGACAGAGCCCACACAGCCUGGCAGAGCUGAUUAUCAUGUCAUAGCAAAUGAAGAGAGCUCUAAGGCAUUAAGAAUUCUCAAACAUUAAUAGCGGCUUUCUUACAAGGCAGUUACAUGAACUGACACUUUGGCAAAGGUAGCACAUCUUGUUUAUCCUUCCACUGAUUGACUCAGAAAUUUAAUUACAAAGUGUACUGUAACUAAUGAAAAGGAAAUUUUAACACUCAUUAAUACUAUAAAACAGUUACUCCAGACUGCCUACAAUCUCAUAGUGUAGUGACUGCAAAUAUUUCUGAGUGAUUUUGUGUGUAAUUUUCACAGAAAAUGACAAGAUAGCAUUAUAGCAUCACUAUGAUGACUCUCAUAGAGGAACUGGGAUUUGAGUAGUAGCUAGUGUAGGAAAACACCAUUUCAGGGUUUUAAUAGCAUAACUUCUUUCAGUUGACUCAGACGCAUUUUCAGUGGAGCUAAUGUUCUUACACAUUGCCUCAGACAUAUAAAUGUAUCCCAAAACAUUUACCUAUCAUAUUUUUAUAAGUUCAGGCUUCUUUACAAUGGUUUUGGACAUGGAAACCACAAACAUAACAAAUCAUUCCCAGAGUAAGUCUGGUAGGUGGAUAACAGAAUCAAGUUUCAACUCACUGUCUCUUUCUUAGGACAGAGACUGGCACAAAACAUAAAAUAUCCGUGGACAAGAUGGGAGAAGCACAGCUUGUCAUAGCAGAUAUAAAAUAGGUGCUUUUGGUAUAUUGAAAUACUCUAUAUAUCAACUGAAAUGUGGAAUAAAAUGGUAAGGUGGAAACAGGAAAACUUUGCUUCCACUUUCCAUUUAAGUUCUAUCUGUAGAUCCUUUAUUUCCUUAAUCCUAGAUGAAAAUAGAAGAACUUGCCCUAGGAUUCUGUCCGGGUAAUAUAGUGUCCACGGCUCUCCCAUGGAAUACAACAAUAAGAUCUGGAAAGAAUAAAUGGGGAAGGCAUUUGAGGACAGAAAAGUAAAUAGGAGCUGCCUGCUUGGAAUUGAAGUACCACUGAACCUGAGUGAUCUUACUUUGUACUUUCCUCUUUGUUCCCUGUAGUCACCCUACAUGAACUUAUCCUAGUUGGAAACCUGAGCUUGAUGGUGUAGACAGUGCGUGAUGGAGCAUGAUGGUGCAGACAGAGAACUCCAGGAGAAGCUUUCUCCUUCUGGCUUAAGGAGCAGGAAACUGAAUUUCUAAAGGCCACAGUAUGUUGGGAAAAAAACGCUAUAAUUUUUUUUCUUUUACUUUUUUUCUGUACCCUCAUGCCACAGACCCUUCCUUGAUAGACUACAGUGACAGCAGAGAGAGAAACAAUGUAUUAACUUUAGGGUAAUAAUAAUUCAAAUUGAGAUUUCUCAUCAGAAACCAUGGCGUUCAAGAAGGAACUUGCACAGCAUGUUUAAAGUAUUGAAAUAAAAGAACAGUAAAUGCAAAAUUCUAUAGCCAGUGAAAGUAUCCUUCAGAAAUGAAGAUAAAAUAAAGACACUCUUAGAUGAAGAAAAACUAAGAGAAUUCAUAGCCAACAAAUAUGCUCUAAAAUUGCUGCUAAAGAAAUUUAUUCAGCCAGAAAGGAAAUGAUACCAUAAGGAAACCUAGAACACUGGAAUAUCAAGAAGGAAGGGUGUGUGACAAAAAUGAUAAAUAUUUAAGUCAGUAUUUGAAAAUGUUUGGCAAUUACAUUUUAUACAUAUAUAUGUUACAUGCAUAGACACGUGCUUCAGUUGCUAAACAUGUUUUAAUAACUCUGUAGCAGAAAAUUUACAUAUAUAUACACACCCACAUAUAUAUGUAUAAUUUCACUUGAAGUAGAAAAAUGUUAAUUUUAAAUAGCCCGUGAAAAGUUAAAUGUGCAUUUUUUUCACUACACUCAUGCAUGGCAUGGUGAAAGUUCCUGGGACAGAGAUUGAACCUGCACCACAGCAGUGACAAUACUGGGUCCCUAAAUGUCUGCACCACAAGGGAACUCCAAGUAUGCAUUUUAAGUCCUAGGAUAACAACUAAAAAAUUAUGCAAAGAGAAAUUGUUAAAAUUACAAAUGAUAAGUUAAGCUGGAACAUAAUAUUCAAAUAAUCCAAAAUAAAAGAGAAAAGGGGAAACAAAGGAAUAAAAAAAUUACAAAAAACAAAAACUAGUAGUCCAAAUCUACAGUUGCAUUGUGUAAAUUAUUUAAAAGCACCUAUUAGGAGAUCUCUAAUGACUGAGUUGGUUAAGUAUAUGGCAUUGUCACUGCCGUGGCUUGGGUUGCUGCUGUGGCACAGGUUCAGUCCCUGGCUCCUAAACUUCUACCUGCCAGGGUGUGGCCAAAAAAAAAAAGAAUAAAUAAAAACUCCUGUUAAAAGACAUACAUUCUCAAAAUGUAUUAAGUGCACAUGACCCAGAGUUUUCAUUGUGGCUCAAUAAGUUGAGAGCCCAAUAAAGUGUCUGUGAGGAUGCAGAUUCAAUCCUGGACUUGCUCAGUAGGUUAAGGAUGGAGUAUUGCCACAAGCUGUAGUAGGUCACAGAUAAGGCUUGCAUACUGUGUGGCAAUGGAUUAGGCCUGCAGGUGCAGCUUUGAUUCGACCCCUAGCCUAAGAACUU